UGCAGACUGUCCAGGAUCUCUCCUUUUCCCACAUCGCUGUCUCCGACCAGGAGGAACUUGAGCAGUGCUGUGGAGAUAGGUCUGGCAAUGCGAGACUACUUCACUUGUGACCCGUCUUACCAGAGUGAAGACCAGGUAGUAGAGCGCUGUGGUGGGCAGCAGGAAUAGCAGGACGGUGAACAGCAGCGUCCCAAUGAAGAGCUGAAACACCACAGAACACACUCACAGUAAACACGGAGUGUGUACCAACUGAGGCAGCCUGAAGAAAACAACGUGAGGCACUAAAUUAUUUUUUAUAAGCAUCUGACCCAGUUACACAACAGUGACGUAAAACAAAACAUCCUGUUCUGCAAGUCGGAUUCAGAUGAUUUAUGUAUUGCCGUACCAGUUAUAAUUAAAGGGAUAAUAAGAAUGGCGUGUGCUUUUGAAUGUAGCUGUUAUGCUGCUGCAUAAAUACACUUUUUCUGUU